rnacentral:lncRNA from 1 species
UCUUGAUCCACAGCCCAUCCAAUAGUAAUAGAAUUAGUAUCCAUAGUAAGAAUUACUUGUCUAUUACAAUCAUAAUUAAUUUUUCUUAAAAUUGGAGGUGUCACCAAUAACACCUUUAGCUUUUGUAUUGCUUUUGUAUGCUUUUUUUCUAUUUAAAUCAAUAAUCCUUAUGUAAUAAUUCAUACAAUGGAUCUGCUACAUGAACAUAAUGAGGAAUCCACAUACAAUAAAAUAUACAAGCUCCUAAAAACAUGUGUACUUCUAUUAAAGAGUCACAUGAAUCUUUCAUCCUUCCAAUUGCAUCAACUUUGCUUAGAUCUGGCUUUCUCCCAUAAAAUCCACACAAAUGACCAACAAUAAGAACUUUUUGCACUCCAAAUGUAGAUUUUGCUCCUGAAGUGUAAGAUGAACGUCUUCAAGUCGAGUUAAAAUCUUUUUACAAUCUUGUAUAUGAUCAACAACAUAUUUGCAACACCCUCUCUCAUCUAAAGUUUCAUCUUUUUCUCCUUCUUUACAUC